AACAAUUUCAAACAUAUUCGAUCAAGCAUUUCAGCAAAAAAAAUGAAGCAAAGUAUAACUGAACUCGAACUAGGCGACCAAAAGUGUUCUACCAAUGAAAAUCAACCUCCCUUAGCAACUUUAUCGGGCACUUCAGCAAAGGAGAUCAACGUCAACAAUUUGACUGAUGCGGAUCAGAAUCCGUUCAUAAAAAGUGGACCAGAAUGUUAUCAGUUUGGAUGAUGAGCAGCAGAAAACGUUGGUUCAUAAUGGACCUGCAUGUAAUCAGGAAAUGGGACUUGCUAAUUUGGAUGAUGAGCAGAAAACAAUAAAAAAACAUGGAGCAGCUUGUGAUGAGGAUUACACGUAUAUAAAGAUUCCUACAUUCUUCCUACGUUCUCUUUAAACCCA